rnacentral:rRNA from 1 species
CCCUUAGAUGUUCUGGGCCGCACACGCGCUACACUGAAUAGAUCAACGUGUUCCCCCUUUCCGAGAGGAACGGGUAAACCGCUGAACCCUAUUCGUGGUAGGGAUCGGGGCUUGCAAUUGUUCCCCGUAAACCAGGAAUUCCCAGUAGGCGCAAGUCAUAAGCUUGUGUCGAUUACGUCCCUGCCCUUUGUACACACCGCCCGUCGCUACUACCGAUUGAACGUUUUAGUGAGGUCCUCGGACUGUUUGGUAGGCGGAUUACUCUGCCUGCCUGGUGGGAAGACGACCAAACUGUAGCGUUUAGAGGAAGUAAAANUCGUAACA